rnacentral:piRNA from 1 species
UGUAGAUUUUCUGAACAUCCUCGGGUA